rnacentral:misc_RNA from 1 species
ACGUGCUCAAGCCCCUCUCGAGAGAGAGGCUUGGAUUUGGACGGGUUGCCGCGAUCGAUUUCGCGGCUCGUCUUGAAAUGCAUUAGGGGGUCGAGCUUUUUCGAGUCGACGGUGUGAUAAGCGAUCGCCGAAGCGACCUUUGAACUCGACCUUUGACCGUCUUCGGACUGUCCUUUGGGGCACACGCGCCUUGUC